AUUGAACGCUGGCGGCAGGCCUAACACAUGCAAGUCGAGCGAGUGGCGGACGGGUGAGUAAUGUAUGUGGUCCUGCCCGAUCGAGGGGGAUAACUACUGGAAACGGUGGCUAAUACCGCUUACUAUCAGAUGAACCCCUAUGGGAUUAGCUAGUAGGUGGGGUAAAGGAUCACCUAGGCGACGAUCUCUAGCUGGUCUGAGAGUAUGAUCAGCAACACUGUGACGGCGAUGAGGCGCAGAAUCCGACGGGAGGCAGGAGUGGGGAAUAUUAGACAGUGGGCGGAAGGGUGAUGCAGCCAUGCGGCGUAUAUUAAGAGGGCCUAAGGGGUGUAGAGGACUUCCAGCGGGGAGGCGUUACCCGAAGAAGAAGCACCGGCUAACUCCGUGCCAGCCGCCGCGGUAAUAC
rnacentral:rRNA from 1 species